GGAUGGGUGGCAGAGUGGUCGAAUGCGCACGCCUGGAAAGCGUGUUUACCGCAAGGUAACGGGGGUUCGAAUCCCCCCCCAUCCGCCA
rnacentral:tRNA from 1 species